AAAGGUCUGAUGAGAGGUCCCAGAAUGGGACCAGUUAGCCCACAGCACUGCCUCAGUCCCAGGUAUCCCGUGGCCAUGGGAGGGCUCCCACUCUCUGAUGGGACAGUCCCCCUGCCACAGCACUCCCCUGUCCUUCAGCCCUGCUCAAAGGCUCAGGAACCUGCUUUUCAGGAUCCAGGGAAAGAAGGGAUGGGGCUCUGGAGAAGUUCAGAAGCAAAAUUAAUCCUACAGCUGUCCAUGGGACAAAAGUGGUGACUGGGAUCACUGGGUACCCUGGAAAGCAAGGAGGCUGCAAACCCCAUGAGAGCCCUGCAGAUAUGCAGCUGCUCAUGCAGUGGGACAGUGAAGAGCACUGAGACACUGUCCCUUUUCCCCUGUAAGCUUGGGCACCACAGCCCCUCAUCUGCAGAGGCACCCAGAGCUGGAGCUGCUGCACAGGAGCAGAGCAGGCUGCAGGUGCCCUCAGCAGCAGGCCACUGUUGAGCCUUGAUCCGGAUGUGGUGUUUGCAAGGAGAUUCCUAACCUGAACGUGUGGCACAGAGUCAACAGUGCUCAGCAAGUGGCUCACAUGGCUUCAGUCUGCUGCAAACACCUUCUGGUAAAACUUCCCCCCAAAAAAUAAACACAGGCACACUGAAGGCUCUUGUGUUAAGAUUUAAUAAUAAUAAUAAUAAUAAUAAUAAUAACAACAUUUCAAAAACAA